UACGUAGGGGGCAAGCGUUGUCCGGAUUUAUUGGGCGUAAAGAGCGUGUAGGCGGCCAGAUAGGUCUGUUGUGAAAACUCGAGGCUCAACCUCGAGACGCCGAUGGAAACCAUUUGGCUAGAGUCCGGAAGAGGAGAGUGGAAUUCCUGGUGUAGCGGUGAAAUGCGCAGAUAUCAGGAAGAACACCGUGGCUAAGGCGGCUCUCUAGUACGGUACUGACGCUGAGACGCGAAGCGUGGGGAGCGAACAGG
rnacentral:rRNA from 1 species